UGAUCCUGGCUCAGAUUGAACGCUGGCGGCAUGCCUUACACAUGCAAGUCGAGCGGCAGCGCGGGGGCAACCCUGGCGGCGAGCGGCGCACGGGUGAGUAAUGCAUCGGAACGUGUCCUCUUGUGGGGGAUAACCAGUCGAAAGACUGGCUAAUACCGCAUGAGCACGAGAGUGGAAAGCGGGGGACCGCAAGGCCUCGCGCGAGAGGAGCGGCCGAUGCCGGAUUAGCUAGUUGGUGGGGUAACGGCCCACCAAGGCGACGAUCCGUAGCUGGUUUGAGAGAACGACCAGCCACACUGGGACUGAGACACGGCCCAGACUCCUACGGGAGGCAGCAGUGGGGAAUUUUGGACAAUGGGGGCAACCCUGAUCCAGCCAUGCCGCGUGAGUGAAGAAGGCCUUCGGGUUGUAAAGCUCUUUCGGCCGGAACGAAAUCGCGCGGGUGAACAAUCCGCGUGGAUGACGGUACCGGAAGAAGAAGCACCGGCUAACUACGUGCCAGCAGCCGCGGUAAUACGUAGGGUGCGAGCGUUAAUCGGAAUUACUGGGCGUAAAGUGUGCGCAGGCCGCCGAGCAUGUCGAGUGUGAAAGCCCCGAGCUCAACUUGGGAACUGCGCUCGAAACUACUUGGCUAGAGUGUGGCAGAGGGAGGUGGAAUUCCACGUGUAGCGGUGAAAUGCGUAGAGAUGUGGAGGAACACCGAUGGCGAAGGCAGCCUCCUGGGCCAACACUGACGCUCAUGCACGAAAGCGUG
rnacentral:rRNA from 1 species